rnacentral:rRNA from 1 species
CGAGGGGUAGAAAGUCUUCGGACUUUUGAGACCGGCGAACGGGUGAGUAACACGUAGAUAAUCUGUCUCUGGAUGGGGGAUAGCCCAUGGAAACAUGGGGUAAUACCGCAUAAGCUCUCUUUUUCAUAAGGAGGAGAGAGGAAAGGCGCUUAGGGGUCGUCCGGAGAGGAGUCUGCGGUUCAUUAGUUAGUUGGUGGGGUAAAGGCCUACCAAGGCGACGAUGAAUAGCCGGCCUGAGAGGGUGAACGGCCACACUGGGACUGAGACACGGCCCAGACUCCUACGGGAGGCAGCAGCUAAGAAUCUUCCGCAAUGGGCGAAAGCCUGACGGAGCGACGCCGCGUGAACGAAGAAGGCCUAACGGUUGUAAAGUUCUUUUCUUGGGGAGGAAUAAGCCUUGCAGGGAAUGGCAGGGUGAUGACGUUAACCGAGGAAAAAGCCCCGGCUAAUUACGUGCCAGCAGCCGCGGUAACACGUAAGGGGCGAGCGUUGUUCGGAAUUAUUGGGCGUAAAGGGCGCGUAGGCGGCAUAGCAAGUCAGGUGUGAAAGAUCUCAGCUCAACUGAGGAAACGCGCUUGAAACUGCUGUGCUGGAGUCUAGGAGGGGAAGCUGGAAUUCCUAGUGUAGGGGUGAAAUCUGUAGAUAUUAGGAAGAACACCGGUGGCGAAGGCGAGCCUCUGGCCAUAGACUGACGCUGAGGCGCGAAAGCGUGGGGAGCGAACAGGAUUAGAUACCCUGGUAGUCCACGCCGUAAACGAUGUGCACUGGGUGUCGGCCCGUUGGGGUCGGUGCCGAAGCUAACGCGAUAAAUGCACCGNCUGGGGAGUAUGCUCGCAAGGCGUGAACUCAGAAGAAUUGACGGGGGCCCGCACAAGCGGUGGAGCAUGUGGUUCCAUUCGAUGAUACGCGA